CUGCGGGCCCUGUUCCGUUGACCUCAGCCACGUCGCUGCCCUCCCGUGUAUAAGAAAUCCGCCAAGAUGGCGCCCCUGGCCAAUACUUCCAGACCGCCGACGGAGACGCUCAUGGCACGGCCGCACUCUGCAGUGUUCUGUGGGUCGGGAAAGCUCAUAAGUUGUUAUUUGCCUCCUCCCCCAGUAAGGAGGGAACUUGCUGGCAAACCUCAAGGCAGAGUUAACUGGGUGGAAGCCAUUCUUAGCGUGUGGGGUGUCUAAAUAACAGGUGUGGGCUGCAUUUGGCCCAUUGGCUGUAGUUUGCCAACCCCCGUUCCAGGAAGAGUGAAACGUGUCACCGUAACAGAAGCAACACUCACAUCACCCUAUUCUUCUCAUAUUCACUGCAGACUUGAUUGUUAUGAUCUGGGUAAAAAUGCUGGUCAUCAAAGCGUCUGUUCCCAAAUCAAUGCCUGUGAUUCAUAACAGAUUUAUCGGCUCUCCUGGACCAAGCUUCUUAACGAGUACCUGACUCUGGUUUCUCCUUCUUCAGAUGAGAAGCAGUGCGGCAAGCCAGGAAGAGAAAGAGGAUAUCUCAAUGGGAGCUACAGAUGUGGUCAGAGCCAGUGAAACAUGAAUGGAUAAAGAAGAUGUACGUAUGCGCAAUGGGAUAUUGCUCAGCCAACAAAAGGAAUGAAAUUGUGUCAUUUGCGGAGACGUGGAUGGACCUAGAGACUGUUAUACAGAGUGAGCAUAGACCACCUGACUUCAAGGAGAACCAUCUACACUCGUCAGAGGACAAGCCAUCACUCAGAAAUUCUGAUCUUCAAGGUUGUGCAGUAGUGGAAUGAGAUUCUGUGGGUGUUUCCCUUGGUGAUACGAUGGUGAGUGGAUCUGAUGGGAGCUUUUAUCAAAACUUGGGUGAUACAAACCGUGUGGACUAGUAACCAGAAAUCAGGUGGUGCCUUGAUCAGUACAGUGGAUGCCAGCACAGACGUCAGUGACCGAAGAUAAGGACUCUCCAAAGAGGUCAGAGGUUAUAAUCACCAGUAGAAGCCAACCUGCUGUCAGUGUUUUAGCUCCACAGCGACCCUCCGGAAGUGACCUACCCUCCCAUGAACUGUGAGUGGGAAGGGAGGAAUUAAAUCUGAACUUACAGAGUUUAAAUGUAAAAUAACUGAGUUUGCAUGGAAUUAAUAAUGAUUGAAGUUUCUGCCAGCUAGCACAAUAGGGUCUUUCAGUUAGAGAAAAUAAAGUUAAUCCUUUUUACGACCAAGAACAUGGCUUUAGAAAAUUGAACCUGUUACAUAAGAAAUUGAGGCAUAAGUAUAUUAUUUAAGGUAAUUAAAGAUAAACAAGCAAAGAAAUAAAGAUGAUAAUACAUCACAUAGUAUAAAAAGAAAGAGCAUAGUUAUAAAAG
ensembl:lncRNA